UACGUAGGGUGCGAGCGUUGUCCGGAUUUAUUGGGCGUAAAGAGCUCGUAGGCGGUGUGUCGCGUCGGCCGUGAAAACCUGCAGCUUAACUGUGGGCGUGCGGUCGAUACGGGCAUCACUGGAGUUCGGCAGGGGAGACUGGAAUUCCUGGUGUAGCGGUGAAAUGCGCAGAUAUCAGGAGGAACACCGGUGGCGAAGGCGGCUGCCUGGACCGGAUGACUGACG
rnacentral:rRNA from 1 species